rnacentral:rRNA from 1 species
UACGUAGGAGGCAAGCGUUGUCCGGAAUUACUGGGCGUAAAGCGCGUGUAGGUGGUGGGACAAGUCUGCUGUGAAAGCGCCUGGCUUAACCGGGCGAGGUCGGCGGAAACUGUCCGACUCGAGGACGGUAGAGGGGGGUGGAAUUCCCGGUGUAGUGGUGAAAUGCGCAGAUAUCGGGAAGAACACCCGUGGCGAAGGCGGCUCUCUGGGACGGUACUGACGCUGAGACGCGAAAGCGUGGGGAGCGAACAGG